rnacentral:rRNA from 1 species
UACGUAGGGUGCGAGCGUUGUCCGGAAUUAUUGGGCGUAAAGAGCUUGUAGGCGGUUUGUCGCGUCUGCUGUGAAAAUCCGGGGCUCAACCCCGGACUUGCAGUGGGUACGGGCAGACUAGAGUGUGGUAGGGGAGACUGGAAUCCUGGUGUAGCGGUGGAAUGCGCAGAUAUCAGGAGGAACACCGGUGGCGAAGGCGGAUCUCUGGGCCAUUACUGACGCUGAGGAGCGAAAGCGUGGGGAGCGAACAGG